CGAGCGAUCUCGCAAGGGAUAGCGGCAAACGGGUUAGUAACACGUGAGUAAUCUGCCUUAAAGUUAAGAAUAGCUUCGUGAAAACGGAGGUAAUACUUGAUGUGGCCUAGAUUCAGCAUUGUUUUUAGGUUAAAGUCGGGGACCGCAAGGCCUGACGCUUUAAGAUGAGCUCGCGUCCUAUCAGCUUGUUGGUGGGGUAAUGGCUCACCAAGGCUUAUGACGGGUAGCUGGUCUGAGAGGACGACCAGCAACACUGGGACUGAGACACUGCCCAGACUCCUACGGGAGGCUGCAGUCGAGAAUCUUUAGCAAUG
rnacentral:rRNA from 1 species